GAUGAACGCUGGCGGCGUGCUUAACACAUGCAAGUGGUGCGACGAACCAGGUUUCGGCCUGGGGCAGAGCCGCGAACGGGUGAGUAACACGUGGGCAACCUGCCCUGUUGAUCGGGACAACCCGGGGAAACCCGGGCUAAUACCGAAUGUGGUGCCGGCUCAUGAGAGCCGUCAUGAAAGGAAGCUUCGGCCUCCGCGACAGGAUGGGCCCGCGGCCCAUUAGCUUGUUGGUGGGGUAAUGGCCUACCAAGGCAACGAUGGGUAGCUGGUCUGAGAGGACGAUCAGCCACACUGGGACUGAGACACGGCCCAGACUCCUACGGGAGGCUGCAGUGGGGAAUCUUGCGCAAUGAGCGACAGCUUGACGCAGCAACGCCGCGUGGGGGAAGAAGGCUUUCGGGUCGUAAACCCCUUUCAGUUAGGACGAAGCUUUAUUGGUUAAUAACCAAUUAGAGUGACGGUACUUUCAGAAGAAGCCCCGGCUAACUACGUGCCAGCAGCCGCUGUAA
rnacentral:rRNA from 1 species